rnacentral:rRNA from 1 species
ACACAUGCAGUCGAGGGGCAUCACGGGAAAGCUUGCUUUUCCGCCGGCGACCGGCGCACGGGUGCGGAACGCGUAUGGAACCUGCCCCUGUCAGGGGAAUAGCCCAGGGAAACUUGGAUUAAUGCCCCAUGGUACCGCGAUAUCGCAUGAUAUUGCGGUUAAAGAUUUAUCGGACAGGGAUGGCCAUGCGUACCAUUAGUUAGUUGGUGGGGUAACGGCCCACCAAGGCAGCGAUGGUUAGGGGCCCUGAGAGGGGGAUCCCCCACACUGGUACUGAGACACGGACCAGACUCCUACGGGAGGCAGCAGUGAGGAAUAUUGGACAAUGGGCGGGAGCCUGAUCCAGCCAUGCCGCGUGCAGGAUGACGGCCCUAUGGGUUGUAAACUGCUUUUAUACGGGAAGAAAUGCGCCCACGUGUGGGCGUCUGACGGUACCGUAAGAAUAAGGACCGGCUAACUCCGUGCCAGCAGCCGCGGUAAUACGGAGGGUCCGAGCGUUAUCCGGAAUCAUUGGGUUUAAAGGGUCCGUAGGCGGGCCUGUAAGUCAGGGGUGAAAGUUUGUGGCUCAACCAUAAAAUUGCCUUUGAUACUGCAGGUCUUGAGUCAUGGUGGGGUCGCCGGAACAUGUGGUGUAGCGGUGAAAUGCAUAGAUAUCACAUAGAACACCGAUCGCGAAGGCAGGUGGCCAACCAUGUACUGACGCUGAUGGACGAAAGCGUGGGUAGCGAACGGGAUUAGAUACCCCGGUAGUCCACGCCGUAAACGAUGGAUACUAGCUGUGGGGACUUCGGUCUCCGUGG